CGAGCCGUUGGUGAGAGGAGCGGGCUGACGGUUACGCGGGUAGCUGUUGCCGCUGUGGGGGAAAAAAAAAAGUGAGGAUGCCACUCUGGGACGUCCCUGUGGGCCGCACCGAAGCCCGCGAGCCCGGGGAACGGCAGAUGUCACCUCACGCCCGACUCCCGGUGGGCUGAGGGACUCUGUGCCCUUGUCACACUUCCUUCUCGGAGGGCUUGGACGGUGCUCUUCGCCGCCACCUCUGUUCCCGCCCGCCUUGUCAUCGUGCCUGCUGGGCGGAUUUUCCGGGCUCUGGCACCCAGUCAGCCUGUGAGUGCGGAGUCGCCCCCAGCUUGCCACCAGGGAAGUCAGAUGUGCCAGGGAAAGAAGCAGCUGACUGCCGGCCUACACCAGUGUGCAACCUUGGGAUCUUGGGAUUUUUUGUUGUUGUAUUGCCAUAA
rnacentral:lncRNA from 1 species